AAAAAUGUUUGGUCUUGUGCCAAUCUCACACCUGUGUGCACCAUUGUCUGUAUUUGGUAGUUUGAGGGUUCUUCUGCCCGCAAGGGUAUGUUGACUUUCACGACCCAAUCAUCUUUGGUUGGUUGGGUCAGGCUACCGCCCUUUUUGAAAAACCUUUUUGUUUGUUUUGUUUUUGUCUGAACGAAGAGUUAAUCCUCACAGAUUAAUGAUUUGAAUA
rnacentral:misc_RNA from 1 species